UGUGUGUACGGGCGAUUUAAUGCGUGUCACGCGUAACUAAAAUAGUUUAAAACGUGCGUAACUGAAAUAGUUUAAAACGCGCGUAACUGAAAUAGUUUAAAACGCGCGUAAUAAGCUCCGAAAGAUAUAGCUCCGACGACAUUAUAUGUGAUAAGAGUUUUCAUUCGACUCGCUAGGGGCCAGCUUUGUUUUUACUCGUGUAGGACCCGUGACGUAGGACAUUAGACCGUUAAUUUCGCGCAAAACGCAUCUCGCAUCGUUUCUCUCGUCAUUUUCGUAAUCGAGUCCCGCCUGCAACAACGAUGGAGCAUCGUCGUUAAUUAGCAUGGACGGCUAUAAUUAACGAAAUCCCGUAACCGCUUUUUCCGAGCGACAGUGGUAAUAGAAAUGGCGAGACUCGUGACGUCACAUUUUUUACGCUGCAAAGUUGCCACGCAUUUGAUAUAUCACUAGUCUUUUCGAGUGACGUAGUCGAGCAUAGCAAGCGUCGUCGGGCAGUUUAACAGUAUUUUACGUUAUUAAAAUCGUUUAAAGUGCGCGUUAAAGCUGAUCGGGAAUGCGAAACAAUGAGCGUGGAUUAGAUUUUUAUUUUGACUCGAUCGUCAUUGUCAUUGCAUUUUCUUGCCGCGAAUUCGAUGGUCGAUUGAAGAUGGCGCCGUGAAAAUCGGGAGUGUCGUUGCAAAGUGACGUGCGAUCUCGUUCGCGAAUAUUAUUUAUCGAAAUAAGUCAUAUAAAGUCACGGGCGAUUGAUCAAUUAUAAUUGACCGCGUUUUUCCGAGUGAUUUGUGUUCGAGUGUUGGGCGAAGAAUUGACAACGGUGAUGAUUGAGCGAGAAGAAAAUUGCGAUCAACUUCCGGGAGUGCAGCCGAGUUCCAUGUCAUGUACGUUACUUGAGUUAUGCUGAUUGCGAGUCGUGCCAAUAUUAUUAUAAUC